GGAGCGUUCUGUAAGCCUGCGAAGGUGUGCUGUGAGGCAUGCUGGAGGUAUCAGAAGUGCGAAUGCUGACAUAAGUAACGAUAAAGCGGGUGAAAAGCCCGCUCGCCGGAAGACCAAGGGUUCCUGUCCAACGUUAAUCGGGGCAGGGUGAGUCGACCCCUAAGGCGAGGCCGAAAGGCGUAGUCGAUGGGAAACAGGUUAAUAUUCCUGUACUUGGUGUUACUGCGAAGGGGGGACGGAGAAGGCUAUGUUGGCCGGGCGACGGUUGUCCCGGUUUAAGCGUGUAGGCUGGUUUUCCAGGCAAAUCCGGAAAAUCAAGGCUGAGGCGUGAUGACGAGGCACUACGGUGCUGAAGCAACAAAUGCCCUGCUUCCAGGAAAAGCCUCUAAGCAUCAGGUAACAUCAAAUCGUACCCCAAACCGACACAGGUGGUCAGGUAGAGAAUACCAAGGCGCUUGAGAGAACUCGGGUGAAGGAACUAGGCAAAAUGGUGCCGUAACUUCGGGAGAAGGCACGCUGAUAUGUAGGUGAAGUCCCUUGCGGAUGGAGCUGAAAUCAGUCGAAGAUACCAGCUGGCUGCAACUGUUUAUUAAAAACACAGCACUGUGCAAACACGAAAGUGGACGUAUACGGUGUGACGCCUGCCCGGUGCCGGAAGGUUAAUUGAUGGGGUCAGCGCAAGCGAAGCUCUUGAUCGAAGCCCCGGUAAACGGCGGCCGUAACUAUAACGGUCCUAAGGUAGCGAAAUUCCUUGUCGGGUAAGUUCCGACCUGCACGAAUGGCGUAAUGAUGGCCAGGCUGUCUCCACCCGAGACUCAGUGAAAUUGAACUCGCUGUGAAGAUGCAGUGUACCCGCGGCAAGACGGAAAGACCCCGUGAACCUUUACUAUAGCUUGACACUGAACAUUGAGCCUUGAUGUGUAGGAUAGGUGGGAGGCUUUGAAGUGUGGACGCCAGUCUGCAUGGAGCCGGCCUUGAAAUACCACCCUUUAAUGUUUGAUGUUCUAACGUGGACCCGUGAUCCGGGUUGCGGACAGUGUCUGGUGGGUAGUUUGACUGGGGCGGUCUCCUCCUAAAGAGUAACGGAGGAGCACGAAGGUUGGCUAAUCCUGGUCGGACAUCAGGAGGUUAGUGCAAUGGCAUAAGCCAGCUUGACUGCGAGCGUGACGGCGCGAGCAGGUGCGAAAGCAGGUCAUAGUGAUCCGGUGGUUCUGAAUGGAAGGGCCAUCGCUCAACGGAUAAAAGGUACUCCGGGGAUAACAGGCUGAUACCGCCCAAGAGUUCAUAUCGACGGCGGUGUUUGGCACCUCGAUGUCGGCUCAUCACAUCCUGGGGCUGAAGUAGGUCCCAAGGGUAUGGCUGUUCGCCAUUUAAAGUGGUACGCGAGCUGGGUUUAGAACGUCGUGAGACAGUUCGGUCCCUAUCUGCCGUGGGCGCUGGAGAACUGAGGGGGG
rnacentral:rRNA from 2 species